rnacentral:rRNA from 1 species
GUAGUCCACGCUGUAAACGAUGAGUGCUAGGUGUCGGGUCGAGAGAUUCGGUGCCGCAGCUAACGCAAUAAGCACUCCACCUGGGGAGUACGAUCGCAAGAUUGAAACUCAAAGGAAUUGACGGGGGCCCGCACAAGCGGUGGAGCAUGUGGUUUAAUUCGAAGCAACGCGAAGAACCUUACCAAGGCUUGACAUCCCUCUGACCGGAUUAGAGAUAAUCCUUUCCUUCGGGACAGAGGUGACAGGUGGUGCAUGGUUGUCGUCAGCUCGUGUCGUGAGAUGUUGGGUUAAGUCCCGCAACGAGCGCAACCCUUAUCUUUAGUAGCCAGUGGGUAAAGCCAGGCACACUAGAGAGACUGCCGUGGAUAACACGGA